rnacentral:rRNA from 1 species
GAUGAACGCUGACAGAAUGCUUAACACAUGCAAGUCAACUUGAAUUUGGGUUUUUAACUUAGGUUUGGGUGGCGGACGGGUGAGUAACGCGUAAAGAACUUGCCUCACAGCUAGGGACAACAUUUGGAAACGAAUGCUAAUACCUAAUAUUAUGAUAAUAGGGCAUCCUAUAAUUAUGAAAGCUAUAAGCGCUGUGAGAGAGCUUUGCGUCCCAUUAGCUAGUUGGAGAGGUAACGGCUCACCAAGGCGAUGAUGGGUAGCCGGCCUGAGAGGGUGAUCGGCCACAAGGGGACUGAGACACGGCCCUUACUCCUACGGGAGGCAGCAGUGGGGAAUAUUGGACAAUGGACCGAGAGUCUGAUCCAGCAAUUCUGUGUGCACGAUGAAGCUUUUCGGAAUGUAAAGUGCUUUCAGUUGGGAAGAAACAAAUGACGGUACCAACAGAAGAAGUGACGGCUAAAUACGUG